rnacentral:sRNA from 1 species
UAUCCAUCAGCCUUUGCAUAAUUGCCGA